rnacentral:lncRNA from 1 species
AGGGUUUGGGAAGUCUGUAUUAUAUUCGUACUUGUCUGUUGGUUAAUCUCAGUGUCUAGCGAUGAAUUUCUACUGUCUAGAAAUGAGUUUUAUUCUAACCAGAUUGGAGCCUGGCAUCUUGAUGCCCUUUCCUUUGCCUUGAUCCAUCCCAUAAGACAUCGAUAGAUUAUUCUCUGUUACUUUAUCUUUCAAUCCCUAUUGCUUUCAUCUGGCUGUUAAACUGGUUUGACAGUUACAUCUCCACAAGUCUGUUACGCCUUGAAAUGCCAGUACAACAGGCACUCCUAACUGCUUAGAGUCAUGUGUAAAGCUCAUAUUGGGGAAAGAGAGCAAGCCUUGUUUCCUGUAGAGCAUUGUGGCUGGAGGUUGGGAGACCUACCUCUCCUGCUAAAUAUUUUCCUGUUCUUCUGCAGCCUUUGGGGGUCUACAAGAGCAGAAUUGUUUUCAGAGUAUGCUGUACCAAGAGUCCUGUUGAUCACAGUGGUCAUUGAGAUUCCUGCCAAGAUGAGAACAUAAUGAAAAAGCUGAGCACAGCUUCUGUGACUCAAGCUAAGAACAGAAAAUGGAGGAAAGAAUCAGGGAAGUGGAAACGAACCAAUGAUUUUAUUAAUUGGGUAAGGUGGCCUGAAAUUUUUAUUUUAAAACAACUAGUAACGUUUAAUGCUUACUUUAAUUAUUUAUUUAAUCAGUUUGAAGGAGCAGUCAUGAGUAAAGUAUCCUGCCACUGAAGUACACUUGAUUUGAUCUCAGAGGCUCACCAUGGGAGGUUAGUUUGCUGUUCUCUUCUGUGGCCUUGUGCUGGGCUUGAUGCAGCCAAAUGAGAGCUAUGGAGUGACUGCUACCCUGAAAACGAGGAAAAAACAAACAUGCAAAAAAAUUAAAAACAAAAGUCACUAUGAAAUGUAUAAACCAUUCUGCAGUUACAUCUACCAUUUCUCUUUUUUAUUAAUUUUAUUUUAUUUUGCCCCCCUCCGGAGAGAUGUAUGCUAUUAAAGUAUUCAUGCAAGCGAGAAGGCAUUGAUUUUUAGACACCUUCAACAAUCAAGUUGAAGACCAUGUAAAGGUCAUGGCUUGUCCUGUCAUAGCUCCUGCAGGUAAAAAGCUUCCAGUGCUUCCACUGGCACAUCCUUGGAGAGCUGAGCUGAGCACCUGCCUUGGAGUCUCCAUUGCUGCUGCAUUCCCACAGGGCAGCAGCGAUGUGCCAGAGCUCCUGGGCUGAGCCUCUGGCAUUAGAGUGGGCUAGCAUGAACUGAAUGAGCAGAAAUUCUUUUAUUUUUU